UAGCAAUGUUUGUUGAAUGAAGAGGCUGACUCACAUGGAGGAGGGGGCAGUGAUGGAAAGCUGACCAAGACGACCAAGACAAGUUUCCGUGUGCGUUCAGAUGACAAAGCAAGCUUUCCUUGGACCUCUGGGUGGGAGAUGCAGCUUCUUCUUUCCCACAGACUUCAAGACAAGCAACAAGAAACACUGCCUCUAGGAAAUGGAGCCAGUCUAGAUGCCC